UACGUAGGGGGCAAGCGUUGUCCGGAAUCAUUGGGCGUAAAGAGCGCGUAGGCGGUCCGGUAAGUCCGCUGUGAAAGUCAAGGGCUCAACCCUUGAAUGCCGGUGGAUACUGUCGGGCUAGAGUCCGGAAGAGGCGAGUGGAAUUCCGUGGUGUAGCGGUGAAAUGCGCAGAUAUCAAGGAGGAACACCAAUGGCGAAGGCAGCUCGCUGGAACGGUACUGACGCUGAGACGCGAAGCGUGGGGAGCGAACAGG
rnacentral:rRNA from 1 species